rnacentral:rRNA from 1 species
GACGAACGCUGGCGGCGUGCUUAACACAUGCAAGUCGAACGGAAAGGCCCUGCUUUUGUGGGGUGCUCGAGUGGCGAACGGGUGAGUAACACGUGAGUAACCUGCCCUUGACUUUGGGAUAACUUCAGGAAACUGGGGCUAAUACCGGAUAGGAGCUCCUGCUGCAUGGUGGGGGUUGGAAAGUUUCGGCGGUUGGGGAUGGACUCGCGGCUUAUCAGCUUGUUGGUGGGGUAGUGGCUUACCAAGGCUUUGACGGGUAGCCGGCCUGAGAGGGUGACCGGGCCCCAUGGGGAUUAGAUACCGGCCCGAACUCUACCGGAGGCCAGAGUGGGGGAUAAUGGAAAAAUGGCCGAAGCCCGAUGGAGGCAACGCGGCGGGCGGGAGGAGGCCUUUGGGUUGUAAACCGCUUUCGCCUGUGACGAAGCGUGAGUGACGGUAAUGGGUAAAGAAGCACCGGCUAACUACGUG